rnacentral:rRNA from 1 species
GGGCCCGCACAAGCGGUGGAGUAUGUGGUUUAAUUCGACGCAACGCGAAGAACCUUACCGGGGCUUGACAUGCACAGGACAGGUGUAGAGAUACACCCUCCCUUCGGGGCCUGUGCACAGGUGCUGCAUGGCUGUCGUCAGCUCGUGUCGUGAGAUGUUGGGUUAAGUCCCGCAACGAGCGCAACCCUUGUCCUUAGUUGCCAUCAUUCAGUUGGGCACUCUAAGGAGACUGCCGGUGAUAAACCGGAGGAAGGUGGGGAUGACGUCAAGUCCUCAUGGCCCUUACGUCCCGGGCUACACACGUACUACAAUGGCCGGUACAGAGGGUUGCAAUGUCGCGAGACGGAGCCAAUCCCAAAAAGCCGGUCUCAGUUGGGAUCGUAGUCUGCAACUCGACUACGUGAACGCGGAAUCGCUAGUAAUCGCGGAUCAGCACGCCGCGGUGAAUACGUUCCCGGGCCUU